rnacentral:rRNA from 1 species
CACGUAGGGUGCGAGCGUUGUCCGGAAUUAUUGGGCGUAAAGAGCUCGUAGGCGGUGUGUCGCGUCGGCCGUGAAAACCUGCAGCUUAACUGUGGGCGUGCGGUCGAUACGGGCAUCACUGGAGUUCGGCAGGGGAGACUGGAAUUCCUGGUGUAGCGGUGAAAUGCGCAGAUAUCAGGAGGAACACCGGUGGCGAAGGCGGCAUCCUGGACCAAUUCUGACACUGAGGAGCGAAAGCCAGGGGAGCAAACGGG